GCUCACUCUCAAUAGCUUCUUGGUAGCAUUCAGGUUCCUCUCCAUUUAUCAACAAUACAUACUCACUGGAAGAGUACUGAGUAGAAGCCCUGCGGUCUCUGGUAGACCUCCUAAGUGGAGCUUCAGGUUGCACAACAGGUGUCUGUUGUUGAUCAUCAACUACUUCAUGUAUAGGAGAAUCUACCUCAUUUGUAACUUCAUGUUCACCCUCAGCUUCAUUAUUUUGAGUAUCAUUUUGCACAUCAACCUCA
rnacentral:misc_RNA from 1 species